rnacentral:sRNA from 1 species
AAUUUUAAUCAAAAACCAAAAAAAACAUUCGAUUUUACGGUUUUUAACCAAACCAAACCUAAACCAAAACUU